rnacentral:tRNA from 1 species
AUAAACAAUUUUAUUGCUUUAAUUAAAGUUAGAAGCUUUUUAAAAUAUUUCUUU